UACGUAGGGAGCGAGCGUUGUCCGGAUUUAUUGGGCGUAAAGAGCUCGUAGGCGGUUUGUCGCGUCGGCCGUGAAAUCUCCACGCUUAACGUGGAGCGUGCGGUCGAUACGGGCAGACUUGAGUUCGGUAGGGGGAGACUGGAAUUCCUGGUGUAGCGGUGAAAUGCGCAGAUAUCAGGAGGAACACCGGUGGCGAAGGCGGGUCUCUGGGCCGAUACUGACGCUGAGGAGCGAAAGCGUGGGGAGCGAACAGG
rnacentral:rRNA from 1 species